rnacentral:rRNA from 1 species
UACGUAGGGUGCGAGCGUUAAUCGGAAUUACUGGGCGUAAAGCGUGCGCAGGCGGUUGUGCAAGACAGAUGUGAAAUCCCCGGGCUCAACCUGGGAAUUGCAUUUGUGACUGCACGGCUAGAGUGUGUCAGAGGGGGGGUAGAAUUCCACGUGUAGCAGUGAAAUGCGUAGAUAUGUGGAGGAAUACCGAUGGCGAAGGCAGCCCCCUGGGAUAACACUGACGCUCAUGCACGAAAAGCGUGGGGGAGCAAACAGG